CCUACGGGUGGCAGCAGUGGGGAAUAUUGGACAAUGGGCGAAAGCCUGAUCCAGCCAUGCCGCGUGUGUGAAGAAGGCCUUCGGGUUGUAAAGCACUUUCAGUGGGGAAGAAAGCCUUGGGGCUAAUACCCUCGAGGAAGGACAUCACCCACAGAAGAAGCACCGGCUAACUCCGUGCCAGCAGCCGCGGUAAUACGGGAGGGUGCGAGCGUUAAUCGGAAUUACUGGGCGUAAAGCGCGCGUAGGCGGUCUGAUAAGCCGGUUGUGAAAGCCCCGGGCUCAACCUGGGAACGGCAUCCGGAACUGUCAGGCUAGAGUGCAGGAGAGGAAGGUAGAAUUCCCGGUGUAGCGGUGAAAUGCGUAGAGAUCGGGAGGAAUACCAGUGGCGAAGGCGGCCUUCUGGACUGACAUUGACGCUGAGGUGCGAAAGCGUGGGUAGCAAACAGGAUUAGAUACCCGAGUAGUC
rnacentral:rRNA from 1 species